UUCUAUCUACAGCUCUCAGCUGAGGAGAGAUCUAAAGGCCUAGUGCCAGUCAUCCAACAUAUGAUGCAUGAAGGAAGAGUUAUAGAAUCAUUAGAAGCAGUUAAUAUCCUAAAAGAUAAUAUGGCUGGGAAGGCAUGCAUUGAAGUUUCAAUUGAUGUAUGGGUUCCAAAACAUCUCAUGAAACUGUACAUUGAUUGCUGCGAGGAGCUCUCUCAGCCACCGAUCUUGAAG
rnacentral:misc_RNA from 1 species